UACGUAGGGGGCUAGCGUUGUCCGGAAUCAUUGGGCGUAAAGAGCGUGUAGGCGGCCCGGUAAGUCCGCUGUAAAAGUCAAAGGCUCAACCUUUGAAUGUCAGUGGAUACUGCCGGGCUAGAGUCCGGAAGAGGCGAGUGGAACUCCUGGUGUAGCGGUGGAAUGCGCAGAUAUCAGGAAGAACACCAACGGCGAAGGCAGCUCGCUAGGACGGUACUGACGCUGAGACGCGAAAGCCAGGGGAGCAAACGGG
rnacentral:rRNA from 1 species